CUAUGGAUUGCGGUUGUUGUUUAUCAACAGAGUUAGCUCGUUAACCGAGCACCUCCAUGCGUUAAAUUAAUUUUACUUACGAGUCAUGUUGCUCAACUUUACGAGUAUUUCGUCACGUACCAUAAUGUCGACAACGUUUGUAUAUUUUCAUUUUUCAUUCAUUAUAAAUUUGUAGAACAACAAAUUGAAUCCAGAGAGUUACUAUGUACAGUGGACAACAGCCAACUGCAUAUAAUAUCCUGUUCAUCCACCGCCGAUUUUAGUGACAUAAAUAUUAUUGGAGAGAUUCAAAUUGAAAUAAUGACAACACCGUGUUCAAUCUCGAAAGAAAACCCAGCUGAAAGUGGACGAUGUGAAUAAAGAAAAUAAAGAAACGACGCCAGACAUACUUGGUCCAGUCGACGUACGGAAUGACCUGGGUGAUGAUGUCCCGGAUCGCUCAGUCGCGCAUCAAGGCGGCACUGUUCAUGAUGAACUACCACCGUCGCGACAAGAAUAACGUCAACCCGGCGACGCCCGACUUAAAGUACUGUAUCACGUGUUUCGACUCGAACAACGAAUUAAAGACCAAGAGCAGGACGACCGUUGGGGCAGUAGCACGAUAUGACCGACAUGAACGUCAGGCAUAUGGGACAUUCCAGCGCGCGACGGAUCUGCCGGGAGAUGGUCACGCUCUAGUCCGGGUCGGACGUCUUCCCCUGAACGGAAACCACCGCCACCGACGACGACGACGCUGACGCCGACCCGUCUGCAACCGUUUUCAAAUUUAACGCGAUUACCUCUGCCGUUGUAGAUCUCGGCGUCGUCGACGAAGUCUCUACCUCCACCGCAUCCGUCGAAGUCAAAGUGGUCGUUAUUACACGUUACGUCGUUACACACAAAGCAGCGACAAGACACAAUUUAAAAAAUUGAUUAGUUGGUUUUGUGUAUUACCGAUAAUAAUGUAUUGUAUUUAUUGUUUACAAUACAGUUGCCAUGCGUUUUAUUCGUA